UAGCCGGCCUGAGAGGGCGACCGGCCACACUGGGACUGAGACACGGCCCAGACUCNUACGGGAGGCNGCAGUGGGGAAUAUUGCACAAUGGGCGAAAGCCUGAUGCAGCGACGCCGCGUGAGGGAUGACGGCCUUCGGGUUGUAAACCUCUUUCAGCAGGGAAGAAGCGAAAGUGACGGUACCUGCAGAAGAAGCGCCGGCUAACUACGUGCCAGCAGCCGCGGUAAUACGUAGGGCGCAAGCGUUGUCCGGAAUUAUUGGGCGUAAAGAGCUCGUAGGCGGCUUGUCACGUCGGGUGUGAAAGCCCGGGGCUUAACCCCGGGUCUGCAUUCGAUACGGGCUAGCUAGAGUGUGGUAGGGGAGAUCGGAAUUCCUGGNGUAGCGGUGAAAUGCGCAGAUAUCAGGAGGAACACC
rnacentral:rRNA from 1 species